CAAAAGCUUGGAGUCUGGAGUCUUGCAGGUUGCGACUGAGUCUCCGGAAGCCCCUCUGGACUUGGAGGUUCACACCCCUAUUCCUGGUCACAAUUUCUGGGCAGGAGACCACCCUCUCCCGGAGCGGGGAGGAUCUGUGGGCAGGGCCCCGGCGAGCGCCCACACCCUCGCGUACCCACACAUCCACGUGGGCGUCUCGGGACACAGCAGCAGGUGCUGGCAGGUGACGGGCAGGACCUCCACGGCAGCAACUCAGCUACCAGCGCUUUCCUUUCUCCUUCCAAGGCCCUUUCUUCUCUCCUCGACCUUUUGAGCCCCCCCCCCCCACUUGCAGCCCAGCUUCCGGCCCGCAGUCUACACCCCUCCGUUCUCCCCACGUGCAGCUCCUCAACGCCUCCAUCCCCACCUGGAGCGAAGUCCCGGCUCCGGAGGCUGGAGGUCCUCGGCGCGUCACGGGGAGGUCCCGGGCCGCCCGGGCAGUGACGGAGCUCGGACCCCUCUGCGUGCUCGAGGAUCCAGGCAGCUGUGAUGUCCUUGCUGUCGCCGCCCCAGUCCGCCGCGCACCAGCUCUGGGGGUGCCGGCCGCGCGCAGCUGCCCGAUUUCUCCUCGCUUCUUGGCUUCCAGGAGGGUCCAGCAGCCCAGGGCUAUGACUAAGGCGCUCACUUGAUCGCAGAGGUGGCGCGGAGCCCGGCGAGCCGAUGACGGACCCCUUCCUCCUGUCUUCAGUGCCUCAACGGAAGAUCCUCAAGGGCUGGAGAGAGAAGGGCUGCUGCUGGACACCCUCCCGGGGAGGCUGCUCCCACCUGCCGCUCGUGGUGUACGAGACUGGGGACUGAGCGAGCCCCAGCCGUCGCUGCCGUCGGUCGGACCGGCCCCCGCCCCGCUCUGCUCGGCCCGCCUCCCGGCCCGGCUCGGCCCGGCCCGGCCCGUCCC
rnacentral:lncRNA from 1 species